rnacentral:lncRNA from 1 species
AGGCCUGAAUGACCCCUUGGGCUUGGUGAAAAAACAGUCUGUGGAUAGCAUAUGCUCCUGUGAACAUCACAGCCAAAUUUUGCAGUCAUGUGCAGCAUGUGGGGCUUGGAAGCAGAGCGUGACGUCACUUUUUCUCAAACGCUCUCUUUUCAACAGAAGCCUGCUCCUCACUUUCUUCUGGACGCCUUAUUUCGUAAUAUAGCAAAUUCCCAUACGCGGCUGCUAUUGACCAAUAGGUGACCUUAAUCAAAAAGGGUGUUUGGAUUAGUGCGCUUCUUCUUACUGUUACUGUGUAUAUUGAUGCAGUUUAAUAAACAGGCUGAAAUAAUUGAAGCAGAGUU